rnacentral:lncRNA from 1 species
GGAUGCGUGCUAAUGAAAGUUAUGUAAUCAUUAUUCAUUUGCACAAGCAGUGCACUCCAUGAUACACAACUGGAAGUGGAAGUAUACUUUGAAAAGGGAAAUAAAAGGCUACUUAUGUAGCACCUCCGUCGCUGUAGGAGUUAUUAUUUCAAAAUGUACAAAAUGGGACCUCUUUAUGUUGUGAAGAUCUGUGGAUAUCCGGGGUCAUUGCAGCCAUGUGCUAACCGUGAACUGGUCUAUUGUGAACUAGGAACAGGCCAAGAAGGGCGGAAAUCCGAAUGCCCUACUAUUUGAAUGCCCUGCCCUAUUGCCCCUAUUAUCCUGUUUGAACUAUUCAACACACACAGACCGAUAGCGGUCAAGGCUUUGGGUAGCAUUGUUGUCGAAAAUAAGGGUACGGUAUGAUGUUUAUUCUUUUUCAACGUGUAAAACCUGUUUAACGGAGACCGGUCAAUUGCAUGUAGCCUACGCGAUGAAUGGUAUUGCGUUCAUUCGGCCUGUACAGUAAUUUACUACCUAUUUAUUUGAACGUGGAAGAAAUUAUAGGAUUGAUCAGUGAAAAGGAAACCCUCCAUCAUAACAGUUACAAAAAUGUCUCCUCAAAUAGUGCUGAUGACCGGCUGCUCAUCGGGUAUCGGUCUAGCUACAGCUAAACGUCUCGCUCUCGACGCCGAACAGCGAUACAUCGUCAUCGCUACAAUCAUAGCGAUAUCGGAGAAAACUGAUCUGUAAGCUGCCGUAGGGGACGCUCUACAGAAAACAAUUUUCAUCCAGGAGUUGGACGUCACAAAGGACGAUGACAUCACAGCUGUAGUGGAUGGAACACUCAAAACGCAUGGGAAAAUUGACAUCCUUAGUUACCCGUAUUUGGAUAUGUACUGCUCCACUAAAUUUGCGCUCGAGGGUUUCUUUCAGAGUCUGGCGGUUUCGUUACGCUCAUUCAAUGUCAGAGUUUGCUUGGUUGAGCCUGGUGGGACUAAUACCGGAUUCAGUCUUGUCAUUAAUAAUUCCAUCGACGCCAGAGUUCAAGACGAGUCCAUCGACGACAUUGAUCGACGUCAGCUUCAAUGUUUAAGAGAGACGAUUACGAAGAAUGAGAUUGCGUUGCCAGACGAUGUCGCCGAUGCGAUAACGACGAGGUGUUUGGACGUUGACGAACCCGUCCUCGGACAUCUUCUACCGGAGGAGUUACACGAUGUCGUUAGGGCAGCGGCGGGCGACGUCACUGGAGAAACCGGCCUCGCCAUUGUGCAGAAUUCAAUAGGAAAAUAACAAUUAGUUGAAAUAAUGAUAAUUUAAAUUCAAAGUCAGGUAAUGGUUGCUGUAUUUGGAGAAAAGCAAGAUAAUGGAAUCCAAAUGAAACUUACUGGCAUUAGUUUUGAUAUGUUUAUCAUGCAGCGAGAAAAAACGUGGCCGACAUUUCCUUGAGACAAUAUGUAAUUUGUUGGAAGGAUACACGACUCUGAACGAUAUGGGGCCACACAAUGUUCUCAUGGUUCUAGCAGGUGAUCUCGUCCUGGAUUUGCAUGCUGUUUGACAAAGAGGCCAGUUAACUUUCCUUGAUCAUUUUUUGCUCAUUCCCCAUUUAUCAUUUAUCAAAUCAGUUUUGUAAAUAUCAUCAGUAUUCUUUAAAAUGGUUAUUAAAAUACAUAUUCUUUAAAUUAAAAUGAUAUUUCAUCAUUAUUUUUCUUAUUCUUUUUGUUUCAAUGUGAUUACAUGUUUUAUAAAACAAAAUCCUAUGUCAAAUUUCUAUGUUGUGUUUUAUGGACGAAUAAAAUGAACUACAUCGUUUCCGCUAGUUUAUAAAGAGGAAUAGUCCAGAAUCUGGCUAAUCUAAUCUUUUUUCACC